UACGGAGGGGGGCUAGCGUUGUUCGGAAUUACUGGGCGUAAAGCGCACGUAGGCGGCUUUGUAAGUUAGAGGUGAAAGCCCGGGGCUCAACUCCGGAAUUGCCUUUAAGACUGCAUCGCUAGAAUUGUGGAGAGGUAAGUGGAAUUCCGAGUGUAGAGGUGAAAUUCGUAGAUAUUCGGAGGAACACCAGUGGCGAAGGCGGCUCACUGGCUCGACACUGACGCUGGAGGGUGCGAAAAGCGUGGGGAGCAAACAGG
rnacentral:rRNA from 1 species